UCUUAAGAGCAUUUGGUGGAUGCCUCGGUGUCGAGAGGCGAAGAAGGACGUGGCACUCUGCGAUAAGCCGCGGGGAGAUGAGAGCAAUCUUUGAUCCGCGGAUUUCCGAAUGGGGAAACCCGGCCCUUUAGGGUCAUCGUACGGUGAAUCCAUAGCCGUGCGAGGCGAACCCGGGGAACUGAAACAUCUCAGUACCCGGAGGAAAGGACAUCAACCGAGACUCCGCUAGUAGUGGCGAGCGAACGCGGACCAGGCCAGUGGCCAGAGAGUAAGAACCGGAAGCGUCUGGAAAGGCGCGCCUUAGUGGGUGAUAGCCCCGUACGGGUAGAAAGCUCUUUGGUCCUCGAGUAGGGCGGGACACGUGAAAUCCUGCCUGAACGUGGGGGGACCACCCUCCAAGCCUAAGUACUCCUGUGCGACCGAUAGUGAACCAGUACCGUGAGGGAAAGGUGAAAAGCACCCCGACGAGGGGAGUGAAACAGUUCCUGAAACUGGAUGCCUACAAACAGUUGGAGCCCAAGGUUCGUCCUGGGUGACAGCGUACCUUUUGUAUAAUGGGUCAGCGAGUUAAUUUUGCGAGCAAGCUUAAGCCGUUAGGUGUAGGCGUAGCGAAAGCGAGUCUUAAUAGGGCGACUAAGUUUGUUGGAUUAGACCCGAAACCGAGUGAUCUAGGUAUGAGCAGGUUGAAGGUGCAGUAACAUGCACUGGAGGACCGAACCCACGCCUGUUGAAAAAGGCGGGGAUGACUUGUGCCUAGGGGUGAAAGGCCAAUCAAACUCGGAAAUAGCUGGUUCUCCGCGAAAUCUAUUUAGGUAGAGCGUCUCGUAUUACCCUCGGGGGUAGAGCACUGGAUGGGCUAGGGGGUCCCAACGACUUACCAAACCUAACCAAACUCCGAAUACCGAGGAGUAGAGCGAGGCAGACACACUGCGGGUGCUAAGGUCCGUAGUGGAGAGGGAAACAGCCCUGACCGCCAGCUAAGGUCCCUAAGUUAUCACUAAGUGGG
rnacentral:rRNA from 1 species